GAUGAACGCUAGCGGGAGGCUUAACACAUGCAAGUCGAGCGGGAAGGGUAGCAAUACCCUGAGAGCGGCGCACGGGUGCGUAACGCGUAUGUAACCUGCCUUAUACAGGGGGAUAGCCCAUGGAAACGUGGAUUAACACCCCAUAGGACUGGAAUUUCGCAUGGGAAUUCAGUUAAAAUUACGGUGGUAUAAGAUGGGCAUGCGUCUGAUUAGGUAGUUGGUAGGGUAACGGCCUACCAAGCCGACGAUCAGUAGGGGUUCUGAGAGGAUUACCCCCCCACACUGGUACUGAGACACGGACCAGACUCCUACGGGAGGCAGCAGUGAGGAAUAUUGGUCAAUGGGCGAGAGCCUGAACCAGCCAUCCCGCGUGCAGGAUGACGGCCCUAUGGUUGUAAACUGCUUUUGUCAGGGAAUAAACCUUGUACGAGAUACAGAGCUGAAGGUACCUGAAGAAUAAGCAUCGGCUAACUCCGUGCCAGCAGCCGCGGUAA
rnacentral:rRNA from 1 species